GGGUGGGGGACACUUUAGAUGUUAAAAAUGGAUGCAUGAAUUAAUGUGUGCGCAUUUGAUUGCAUGCGUCUGUUUGAAAGUGUGCGUGUGUGUGUGCGCGUAUAGAGAGAGCAAGCGGGGGAGUCACUGACCAGGUUUGAGCAGAUUUCAGGUUCAAUGAUGAGUGUUAAGAGAACGGCGAGGCGUCUAAUCGACGGGAAUCCAUCCAUAUCAGGUACAAUCAAUCAUUUCUUCUCUCAAAUUCACUAGAGCGUGUCCAAAGCAGCAGGCCGGAACCACCCGUCACAUACGUCACUCAUCGCCUCACACAUCACGUUUACCUUACGUGCAGGAUAUCAGGAACAAUGCCUCCUAGUUUGUAUGUGUUACAAUACAGAGGAGGUCAGAAACACAGGUACAGUGAGACAACCAGAGAGGAAUGCAGGUUCAAUGAAGGCUGAGAGACGUAAACAGACAAGGAUUCCAGACAACACAGAUAUCAAGACAGGAAUACUGGACUUGAUCUUCACACCAGAUUCAAUGAAGACUGAGAGACGUGGAGCAGGAGCAACACGGAGACACUCACGGAGGACUGGAGAACACAGAGGAUCUAGGAGACACACUGGAGACAGGCAAGUAGUCCGUAAGGUAAGCAUUCAGGUUAGUAUGCGUUAACGAGACCAGACAAUGACUGAGUAGGCAUUUCUCAAUGUCAAGGAUACUUCCUUGGCAGAACUGGUCCUUCCAAGUCACUUCCUUCAGAGGCUAGGCGAGCUCCUCUUUAGCAUUCGGAGAACAC